UAGAGUUUGAUCCUGGCUCAGGACGAACGCUGGCGGCGUGCCUAACACAUGCAAGUGGAGCGACGAACCGGGGCUUGCCCCGGGGCAGAGCCGCGAACGGGUGAGUAACACGUGGGUUACCUGCCCAGAUGACCGGGACAACCCGUCGAAAGACGGGCUAAUACCGGAUGUGCCCGCAAGGGAAAGGAAGCUUUGGCCUCCGCAUCGGGAUGGGCCCGCGGCGCAUUAGCUUGUUGGUGGGGUAAUGGCCUACCAAGGCGACGAUGCGUAGCUGGUCUGAGAGGACGAUCAGCCACACUGGGACUGAGACACGGCCCAGACUCCUACGGGAGGCAGCAGUGGGGAAUCUUGCACAAUGCGCGAAAGCGUAAUGCAGCAACGCCGCGUGCGGGAAGAAGGCCUUAGGGUUGUAAACCGCUUUCAGUUGGGACGAAGCUUCUUGGGUUAAUAGCCUGUUGAAGUGACGGUACCUUCAGAAGAAGCACCGGCUAACUACGUG
rnacentral:rRNA from 1 species